AUUGAACGCUAACGGCGUGCUUAACACAUGCAAGUCGAGCGGCAGCAUGACUGUAGCAAUACAGUUGAUGGCGAGCGGCGGACGGGUGAGUAAUGCAUAGGGAUCUGCCUUGUAGUGGGGGAUAACCCGGGGAAACUCGGGAUAAUACCGCAUAAUCUCUACGGAGCAAAGUGGGGGACCUUCGGGCUCUCCGCUAAAAGAUGAGCCUAUGUUGGAUUAGCUGUAUGGAAGGGUAAAGGCCUACAAAGGCAACGAUCCAUAGCUGGUCUGAGAGGAUGAUCAGCCACACUGGGACUGAGACACGGCCCAGACUCCUACGGGAUGCAGCAGUGGGGAAUAUUGGACUAUGGGCGAAAGCCUGAUCCAGCAACGCCGUGUGUGUGAAGAAGGCCUUCGGGUUGUAAAGCACUUUUAGUGGGGAAGAAAAGUUCAUGGCUAAUAUCCAUGAAUGCUGACGUUACCCACAGAAAAAGCACUGGCUAACUCUGUGCCAGCCGCCGCCGUAA
rnacentral:rRNA from 1 species